rnacentral:ncRNA from 1 species
AGGAAGAGAGGAGGCAAGGGCUGGCCGCGCCCCUUCCCCCUAGUCCGAAUAGGACAAGGAGAAGGGGGCGGCGCCCCCCCCCCCUUUCCU